rnacentral:tRNA from 1 species
GCUGUGAUGGCGGAGUGGUUAAGGCGUUGGACUUGAAAUCCAAUAGGAUCUUCCCGCGUAGGUACGAACCCUACUCACAGCG